ACAAGGAUUCCUCUAGUAACGGCGAGCGAACGAGGAAAAGCCCAGCACCGAAUCCUGUAUCGUUGUGAUACUAGGAAAUGUGGUGUUUAGGCCGUGCUUUGUGCCGGUAUGAUUCUCCUCAAGUCCACUUGAUUGUGGCUUCAGGCCCAGAGAGGGUGUAAGGCCCGUGGAGGCGAGUCGUCCGGUGCCCGGCACGUCCUUCGAGUCGGGUUGUUUGGGAAUGCAGCCCAAAGCGGGUGGUAAACUCCAUCCAAGGCUAAAUACUAGCACGAGUCCGAUAGCGAAGAAGUACCGCGAGGGAAAGUUGAAAAGAACUUUGAAGAGAGAGUUCAAGAGUACGUGAAACCGCUGAGAGGCAAACUGGUGGAGCUGAAAUGGUCUUGAGGAAUUCAGCCCUUCCUGCUAGAGUUGCGUUCGGUUGUGAGAUCUCACGACUCCGCCGGGCGCAUCUUCGUGCGGGAUAGGUGCACUUUCCUCUUGAUCGGACCACGACCAGCGACUUGACUUGUCUGACAUAAGUGGAAGGUAGCGUCUACUUCGGUAGACGUGUUAUAGCCGCUUAUUCGGCGCUAUAUGAGCAAGGCGUUGGAUGGAAUGUUGGCGCUUGCCCCUAAGGGCUCGUACGUUGUCUCUUUCAGGCGUGUCGCCGGCUUCACUGCCUUUGGCAGGGGUGUUGGAGACGUGUCGGUUAGCGGCGGCCUCUGCGAUUGGCGUCGAAAGUCUGUGGUUAUGAAGUAGGCAGUCCACCUGACCCGUCUUGAAACACGGACCAAGGAGUCUAACAUGUGCGCGAGUCAUUGGGCAAUACGAAACCUAAAGGCGCAGUGAAAGUAAAGAUCCAUUUUGUUGGAUUGAGGUGGGAUCCUGAGUCACGUGCUCGGGCGCACUACCGGCCCGUUCGUCAUGUCUUCAUGCGGGCGGAGCAAGAGCGUACACGUUGGGACCCGAAAGAUGGUGAACUAUGCUUGCGCAGGUCGAAGCCAGAGGAAACUCUGGUGGAGGACCGUAGCGAUU
rnacentral:rRNA from 1 species